rnacentral:siRNA from 1 species
UACUCAGCUAUGUCUACUCUC